rnacentral:rRNA from 1 species
UACGAUGAAGAGUUUGAUCCUGGCUCAGGAUGAACGCUAGCGGCAGGCUUAACACAUGCAAGUCGAGGGGUAAAGGAGCUUGCUCCUUUGAGACCGGCGCACGGGUGCGUAACGCGUAUGCAAUCUACCUUUACAGGGGGAUACCCAGAGAAAUUGGAUUAAUACCCAUAGUAUUAUUAAAUGCAUCAUUAAUUAUUAAAGUUCCAACGGUACAAGAUGAGCAUGCGUCCCAUUAGCUAGUUGUGUGUAACGGACACCAAGGCAACGAUGGGUAGGUCCUGAGAGGGAGAUCCCCCACACUGUACUGAGACACGGACCAGACUCCUACGGAGGCAGCAGUGAGGAAUAUUGGUCAAUGGACGCAAGUCUGAACAGCCAUGCGCGUGCAGGAUGACGGUCUAUGGAUUGUAAACUGCUUUUGUACAGGAAGAAACAUCCCUUGCGAGGGAACUUGACGGUACUGUAAGAAUAAGGACGGCUAACUCCGUGCCAGCAGCCGCCGGUAAUACGGAGGAUCCAAGCGUUAUCCGGAAUCAUUGGGUUUAAAGGGUCGUAGGCGGUUUUAUAAGUCAGUGGUGAAAUCUGGUCGCUCAACGAUCAAACGGCCAUUGAUACUGUAAGACUUGAAUUACUUGAAGUAACUAGAAUAUGUAGUGUAGCGGUGAAAUGCUUAGAGUUACAUGGAAUACCAAUUGCGAAGGCAGGUUACUACGAGUACAUUGACGCUGAUGGACGAAAGCGUGGGGAGCGAACAGGAUUAGAUACCCUGGUAGUCCACGCCGUAAACGAUGGAUACUAGCUGUUUGGAGCAAUCUGAGUGGCUAAGCGAAAGUGAUAAGUAUCCCACCUGGGGAGUACGCUCGCAAGAGUGAAACUCAAAGGAAUUGACGGGGGCCCGCACAAGCGGAGGAGCAUGUGGUUUAAUUCGAUGAUACGCGAGGAACCUUACCAAGGCUUAAAUGGGAAACGACAGAUUUGGAAACAGAUCUUUCUUCGGACGUUUUUCAAGGUGCUGCAUGGUUGUCGUCAGCUCGUGCCGUGAGGUGUCAGGUUAAGUCCUAUAACGAGCGCAACCCCUGUUGCUAGUUGCCAGCGAGUCAAGUCGGGAACUCUAGCAAGACUGCCGGUGCAAACCGUGAGGAAGGUGGGAUGACGUCAAAUCAUCACGGCCCUUACGCCUUGGGCUACACACGUGCUACAAUGGACGGUACAGAGAGCAGCCACUACGCAAGUAGGCGCGAAUCUACAAAACCGUUCUCAGUUCGGAUCGGAGUCUGCAACUCGACUCCGUGAAGCUGGAUUCGCUAGUAAUCGCAGAUCAGCCAUGCUGCGGUGAAUACGUUCCCGGCCUUGUACACACCGCCCGUCAAGCCAUGGAAGCUGGGGGUACCUGAAGUCGGUGACCGCAAGAGCUGCCUAGGGUAAAACUGGUAAUAGGGCUAAGUCGUAACAAGGUAGCCGUACCGGAAGGUGCGGCUGGAACACCUCCUUUCUA